UUGAACGCUGGCGGCAUGCUUUACACAUGCAAGUCGAACGGCAGCGCGGGCUUCGGCCUGGCGGCGAGUGGCGAACGGGUGAGUAAUACAUCGGAACGUGCCCAGUAGUGGGGGAUAGCUCGGCGAAAGCCGGAUUAAUACCGCAUACGACCUGAGGGUGAAAGCGGGGGAUCUUCGGACCUCGCGCUAUUGGAGCGGCCGAUGGCAGAUUAGCUAGUUGGUGGGGUAAAGGCCUACCAAGGCGACGAUCUGUAGCUGGUCUGAGAGGACGACCAGCCACACUGGGACUGAGACACGGCCCAGACUCCUACGGGAGGCAGCAGUGGGGAAUUUUGGACAAUGGGCGAAAGCCUGAUCCAGCAAUGCCGCGUGUGUGAAGAAGGCCUUCGGGUUGUAAAGCACUUUUGGCGGGAACGAAAAGGACUGUGCCAAUACCACGGUUCGAUGACGGUACCCGCAGAAUAAGCACCGGCUAACUACGUG
rnacentral:rRNA from 1 species